UACGUAGGGUGCGAGCGUUAAUCGGAAUUACUGGGCGUAAAGCGUGCGCAGGCGGUUAUGUAAGCCAGAGGUGAAAUCCCCGGGCUCAACCUGGGAACGGCCUUUGUGACUGCAUAGCUAGAGUACGGUAGAGGGGGAUGGAAUUCCGCGUGUAGCAGUGAAAUGCGUAGAUAUGCGGAGGAACACCGAUGGCGAAGGCAAUCCCCUGGACCUGUACUGACGCUCAUGCACGAAAGCGUGGGGAGCAAACAGG
rnacentral:rRNA from 1 species